UCUUCUUAUAAGGACACCAGUUCUACUGGGUUAAGGCCCCACCCUUAUGACCCCAUUUGGCAUUAAUUACCUACAAAAAGGCCCUCUCUCCACAUAUAGUCGCAUUGGGGGUUAUGUCUUCAACAUAUGAAUUUGGGGUUGGAGGUGGAUACAAUUCAGUCUGUAGUACUUUCUAACCACUAAAUGCCUAUAAAAUGUAAGCUCAGUAAGGGCAAGGACUUGGGCUGUGUUUUUCACUGAGCUGUCCUGUCUUUCCAAGGCCUGUUACAGUGCCUGGAACAGGCACAUAGUAGGCCCUCAAUAAAUGUUUGUUGAAUGAAUGAAUGAUGGCCUCUUCUUCUCUCUGAUGCUCUGAUAUUGAGGAAAUCUGUGAGAAAAGAUCAGGUAAGGAGGCAUUUUUUUUUUUCAUAAGAAGUGGAAAGUUUUUAUGUAGUGUUGCAUUUUUCAGUUUUAUGAUAAGAUUUAUAAAGAUGCUCAGUCAUCGCUGCCAGCCCCUGCACCAUGUCCUCCCUCUGCUCCGUGCUCCUCCGCCUGUGGCAAUGGAAGAAGAGAUCCCCCGCUCUUCAUUGACAAUGGCUCCAGCAUGUGAAAAGCGGCUUUGCUGGGACAAUGCCCUCUGAGCCAUGUUCCCCUCCAUCGUCAGGUGCCCCCGGCACCAGGGCAUGAUGGUGGGCAUGGGCCAGAAGGACUCCUAUGUGGGCGACGAGGCCCAGAGCAGGUGUGGUAUCCUGACCCUGAAGUACCCCAUCAAGCACUGCAUCAUCACAAACUGGGACGACAUGGAGAAGAUCUGGCACCACAUUUUCUACAACGAGCUGCGCGUGGCCCUGGAGGAGCAGCUGGUGUUACUGACUGAGGCCCCGCUAAACCCCAAGGCCAGCAGGGAGAAGAUGACUCAGAUCAUGUUUGAGACCUUCAACACCCUGGCCAUGUACGCAGCCAUUCAGGUUGUGCUGAUGCUGUAUGCCUCUGGGCAUACCACUGGCAUUGUCAUGGACUCUGGAGAUGGGGUCACCCACACAGUGCCCAUCUACGAGGGCUACACCCUCCCUCACACCGUCUUGCAUCUGGAUCUGGCUGGCCAGGACCUUACUGACUACCUCAUGAAGAUCCCCACCUAGCGUAGCUACAGCUUCACCGCCAUGGCCAAGCAAAAGAUCGUGCGUGACGUCAAGGAGAAGCUAUGCUAUGUCGCUCCGGACUUUGAGCAGGAGAUGGCCACUGCUGCAUCCUCCUCCUCCCUGGAGAAGAGCUAUGAGCUGCCUGACAGCCAGGUCAUCACUAUCGGCAAAUGAGCGGUUCCAGUGUCUGAGGCACUGUUCCAGCCUUCCUUCCUGGGCAUGGAAUCCUGUGGCAUUCAUGAAAGUACCUUCAACUCCAUCAUGAAGAGUAAGGUGGACAUCCCAAAGACCUGUAUGCCAACACAGUGCUGUCUGGUGGCACCACCAUGUACCCUGGCAUCACUGACAGGAUGCAGAAGGAGAUCACUGCCCUGGCACCCAGCACCAUGAAGAUCAAGAUAUCGUGCCCCCAGAGUGCAAGUACUCGGUGUGAAUCUCUGGCUCCAUCCUGGCCUCACUGUCCACCUGCCAGCAGAUGUGGAUUAGCAAGCAGGAGUACCACGAGUCAGGUCCCUCCAUUGUCCACCGCAAAUGCUUCUAAAUGGACCGCAAGCAGAUGCAUAGCAUUUGCUGCAUGGGUUAAUUCAGAAGUAUAAAUUUGCCCAUGGAAAAUGCAUACACCUCAUGCUGUCCUCACGAUACUGGAAUAAGCCUUUGAAAAGAAAUUGUCCUUGAAGCUUGUAUCUGAUAUCAGCACUGGAGCAUAGAACUUGUGCUGAUUUUAACCUUGUAUUCCAGUUAACUGUUGCCCUUGGUAUUUGUUUAAUACCCUGUACAUAUCUUUGAUUUCAACCCUUAGUACAUAUGGCUUGGUCACUUCAUGGCUGAGGUAAGAACGUGCUUGUGGAAGACAAGUCUGGCUUGGUAAGUCUGCAUGGCCAGCAGUCUCUGAUCUGUGCAGGGUAUUGAUGUGUCAGGGCUGAGUGUUCUGGGAUUUCUCUAGAGGCUGGCAAGGGCUCCUGAACUAGUUGUUUCUGUCCUGCCGGUCUGUCAGGGUUGGAAAAGUCCAAGCCAUAGGACCCAGUUUCCUUUCUUAGCUGACGUUUUCCUACUGGAAUACCGUGGGCUGUUACUUGCUUUGAGUUGGAAGCGGUUUGCAUUUAUACCUGUAAAUGUAUUCAUCCUUUUAAUUUAUGUAAAUUUUUUUCUUUUUCUUUUUCUUUUUUGUACAGAAUUCUCAAUUCUUUAAAGAGAUGAUAACAAAUUUUGGUUUUCUACCAUUAUGUGAGAACAUUAGGCCCCAGUAACACACCAUUGUGUAAGGAAAAAUAA